CUGUGUUUAUUUAACAGUGUGAGGUACAUGUAAUCAGCACUGGUUAAAAGGAGUUGAACAUCACAACAGCAAAAAGCAUUGUCACCAUUACAUCAGACACUGUACAGUACAAGGAGCAAAAGCUUCACAGAAGAGAUUAAAAAAACAACACCAUGGUGUUUAUUUACAACACAAGGUACCUACACACUGAAUGUCAACUAUUCAAAUAUUGAGGGAUUCUGUUAUUGUACAGUGUAAAGAUAUAAUGCAUGAAACACUCCCCUAUGGAAACCUAGUGAUCAGAGUUGUAAAACACAAUAAUGAUUUGCAUUAGUGUAGGGCCAUGGCUUAACUAAGUCUGUAUAUUUCACCAGGCUUCUGAUAUGAUGGUGCCAAUAUUGCAUCAUAUCACAAGCAAUAUAAUCAGUUAUUACAGGCAUUUGUAGACUAGAAAGAUAUUUAAAAGAUGUAAAGGACCCAUGCUUUUGGUAGUUAAAUCCAGCCCUACCUAGUUAGUCCCUGGAGUUCAGAUACACUAAAGAGAUAUCAAAAUAUUAUGCUGUUUACACAAUAACACACACUCACACCGUUUCAGAAUACAUACAAGAGAAGUGGGCUCACUUUGUAAAACAUAUGGCUUUUGUACUGGCACAUAAAAACCAUAGAGAACCUGGUUCAUGGUUACACUAGCAGACAGAAAACCAACAAAAAUACUUUAACAAUAUGCCAGGAUAAACAUCAGAUAUGCAUAAACUUGGCAGACAUAAAUAUACAUUGUGUAGUGUUUUUGAUCAAAUAAAACAAGAGGAACACAACAGCAAUAAACGUAUGUAGUACAAGUAAAGGAAAAGGGGGUCAUGUCAUAGACUACAUUUUUGUAGCACCUCAAAUAAAAUUAAAACCUACGAAAACUGCUUUCACAGCUGCAAAGGCAAUAAUUCACUAUAAUAAUAAAAAAUAAUUGUGAAUUCCUGCCCCUUGGCUCUUAAUCAUACCCUCUGUGUUCAACAUAAAAGGAGCUAAGUAGCCAUAAUGUGUAUAUAGUGCAAUUAUGACUGCAAGGUCAAACUGCUUCAUUACACCAUCCAGUUAUUGAUAAUGGCAGUUUCUGAGUAGCUUGACUUUGUGCGCCAUAUGUGCUGUGCUGAAGGAGUGAAAUGGCUAUACAACCAAAUGCACAACAAUAGUUUUUAACAUUUAGACUCUGAUCUGUACACUGACAACCAAGAACAAUAGAAAUCUAAAUUUGACAGAAUACAGCCUACAGGGACUGAACUAUUCAAAGUAUUAUACUAUUAAGUGCUAUCAGAAUUUAUUACUCAUUUAUUUAAAUAUAAAGUUGACACUUUGUUCAGUGAGUGCCACUAAUUCUCCUUGCUACAGUCAAACUCUCCUCCCCAAUGCCAACUAGUUGGUUCAAUUUCCCCUCAGCCAAAGGAAGCACUACACAAUGAUGUGACCUUAACCAGAAAUCUGCAACACUGCAUCUGCAAUUCCCACCUACACACAAAAACACUGAGAUGCGGAUGCAUGACUCAUCUGAAUAUGCUUAUAUAUUAAAAAAUCAACUAUGUGAAUCUAAAACCCUGAAUACACAAGAUCCAAUGAAGAGCUAAAAUCCUCACCACACAAGUGACAAAAAAACUGGAUAAAAAAAUAAAACCUGCCAAACAAGCAAAACCCUGCAAAGAUCGUUUCCUGUUCCAACAUGUAGAACAAGUUUCCCUCCUUUGUUGAAGAAUUUAUAGGCGAAUCAAAGAAGAAAGCAGGGAGUGUUGGGAUUUGGAAAGGAGUUAAGUUACCCCAGGAUUCAGAGGAGCCCAUGCCUACAGAAAGAUGGCAGAGACUGCUCUUUGAAAAUCCUCAGGCUCUACCAGCAGUGAAUGGAUGGGGGAAAAAAAAAAAUCACACUGCUGGAAAGAAGAGUUUGAAGAGCCCUUUCUCUCACCUGUACUUUUGUUUUGUGCCACCUCUUUACUUGGCACUUCCAGCUCUAGCGCUUGAUCACCACUUGUUCAUAGGCACCAGCACCAACCCUGUAACAUUUAAAAAGGAAACAUCAGAACUGAAACAGGGCUGAUGUAAGAUAUAAAACAUGUUCAGUAGAAC
ensembl:lncRNA